rnacentral:lncRNA from 1 species
UCAUUAUACUCGAAAAACUAGCUCCACAAUUAAUUGGCAUACCAGCAUUCAACCUUGCCACCGAUCCAAGAUCGAAUAAAUUUGUUCUUCCAAAAGUUGUAGAAAAAAUCCUUAACAGCUUUUAUACACAAUUUUCAAUUAGUAAAGAUUUUUUAGGAUAGCAAUCCUCUAAUUGACAGCUCAAAUGAAGCUUCCAGUACAGAAUCUUCUUCGCUACAACUUUCGAAAGUAGUGAUCCAUACUCCUACAAAACGUUUAUAUUCGAAAAUCUUUUAGCAAACUACUCAAAAAACGUCUUCUCUUACAAUCAAGUAACAAAUUUUUUAACCAAUUAUCUAAAAGUAAUUUUUUUCAUGAUAAAUUUUUUUUCUAUAGAGAACCGGUAAAGCCAUCAUCUGAGAAAAAACUUCAUAUCGAAUAAUGUAAUAUCAUCUAACUAAUUUAUUUUUUCUAUAUUUCUCACUAUACCA